AAAGUAUCGGAGUAAGCAUGGCUAGGAUUGGGCUGACAAAUUCAAAGGAAUUAUGUCAGGUACAUUCAAUGGAAUGCUGCUGAAAUGGAUUCUGAGCCCUUAACAUAAAAAGGCAGAAAUGCAUCAAAUUGACCAACGAUGCAUACCAGGAAAGCAAAAAUUAAAGUGAAUUCGUUUAUCUUUGGGGAUUAUACUGCACUAGAAUUGCCUGAAAAUGUCCUAGAAGACCAAAGUGAUGGAGCCCCUAAGUUUUGAGUUUUUGCAGGGAAAAUGCUCCUGGAAUAGGCAAUUAUGCCUGAAAAACCAUGUAUGUUAAAGGCCUUGGAAAAUGUCUUCAGCUAGAAUUGGAAAGACCUGAGGAUAAGCACAAUGGAGGAAACACUCACCUUUCUGAAUUAGAGGGACCCCAAAGGACUUCUUUGCCCAGUACCCCUAAAGCCCUUGUGCUACCACUGCAUCUAGAAAGCUCUGGACCAUCUUCACAACUCAACUGAGAUCUGUCAUGACAUCCCUGCAUAGAAUUGAAGUAACAACACAAAGACUGUUCACAUCUGUAACAGGAAGAGACAGAUAUUCAUUCACUAAUAAAAUGUAUGACCUUUCAGCUGAAAGACCGGAAUUUACAUCUAAA